CCUGAUCCCAUUCCGAACUCAGAAGUGAAACGAAAUAGCGCCGAUGGUAGUGUGGGGUUUCCCCAUGUGAGAGUAGGACAUCGCCAGGCU
rnacentral:rRNA from 1 species